AGUGCAUAUAGACUGGUCAUUUUACGAUUAGGGAUUAUUUUGGCCGCCGUCGCUGCCCUUCCUAGUCGCUGUCGCGACCUCAUCUGCUUCCAGAGUCCGGCCUCGUCUGCUUGCAGCGUCGCCGACCAGAUCCACCCGCACGCGGCCGUCCGCGCCUCGUCCAUCGCAGCGGCCGCCCGCACGCGUCCAUGACCUCGUCGGCUUCCGGCGCCGGCCAGAUCCGCCCAGCCUCUCCGCCCCCGCCGACCGCGCUGCAGCCCUCUCCGCGGUGCCUCGGCCCCUCCCGUCGCGGCUACCUCCAGCCGCCGGUCAACCUGCCGACGUGGCCACCUCCGGCCGCCCAGAUCCGCUGCACCACCUCCAGACGCCAGCCGCCGACCGCCCAGACCCCCUGCUCCACCAGGGAGAGUCGCCAGCCGCUACCUCUAGCCGCCGGUCGCGUAGAUCCCCUGCUCCACCAGGGAGUCGGCCGCCCAGAUCCCCUGCUCCACCAGGGAGAGCCACCAGCCGCUCCACCACUGUGUCCCAACCCUAGGCCGAGGGAUUGCGCGCCUCCCUGACGUGAGCCGCGACUGGGUGAACACAGAUAUUGCUCCAGUUUGUGAAGCAGCUGUUCAACACAGCUUCUAAGAGAUUAGAGAUUGGGGUAGUUGACUUGACAAACCUCUUUUCACACGAACUGAAAAACUAAUCCAUCAGUAAACCUUGAUGUUUCUGAUGUUGAGAGGCUGAAAGAGCAGUAUGCAUGUUGCACAGAAGAUCAGUUGGCUUUUGAAGGCUAUAGAAAGCUCUUGCCAACCAGAAAGGCACUUCCUGAUGGGCAGGUCAUAACAAUUGAGAAAGAGAGGUACAUUGUUGGUGAAGCUUUAUUUCAACCACAUAUAUUGGGCUUGGAAGAUUAUGGUAUCGUUCACCAGCUAGUUACUAGCGCCUCAAAUGUUUCAUCAGAGUACCAUCGUCAGCUGCUUGAAAAUACCAUGUUAUGUGGUGGCACCACAUCAAUGACUGGCUUUGAGGACAGGUUCCAGAGAGAAGCAAAUCUGUCUGCUUCAGCAAUCUUUCCAUCACUUGUGAAGCCCCCCUGAAUACAUGUCCGAGAACCUAGCAAGGUACUCGGCCUGGUUGGGUGGUGCGAUAUUGGCCAAGGUCGUUUUCCCUGAAAACCAGCAUAUCACCAAGGGCGAGUAUGAUGAGACGGGGCGUCUAUUGUGCACCAGAAGUGCUUUUAGAGACAAACUGCCUUGAACUAGCACGGUUGUGCACCAUUUGCUGCUGUUCAUGUCACAGCUGUGCUCGUACCUGAAUGUUGCAGGUGCCGAUGCUUGAGUCCACUGUACGCCAGCCACAGUUCAUACCGCUAGCCACAGUUCAUACCUGACUGUUGCGAAGUGUUGGUGCAUCUAGGUCGGUUGGGUUUAUUUAGAGUGCAAUAGAGGGUAACAUUGACGUGUAUUCGUUAGGAGUUUUAGCCAAUUGCCCAUUUGCACCUGUAGUAUUAGAGAAUUAGCUGAGAUUUCCUUUUCAACUUACAUUAUGAUCCAUUAUCUCUUCAGCUA